rnacentral:rRNA from 1 species
GAUUUCUGACGAACCGGAGUGGCCCGUUUCCUUUCUGGGAAUGAGUGCCGCUUUGAGUUUGUCAUCCUUCCAGAGAGCUGCGUCUACCGUUCAUUCGGCCGGACGUAUGCGAUCUAAUAAUUUAGGACUUUGGUUCUAUUUUGUUGGUUUCUAGGACUGAAGUAAUGAUUGAUAGGGAUAGUUGGGGGUGCUAGUAUUCCGCGGCCAGAGGUGAAAUUCUUGGAUUCGUGGAAGACUAACUACUGCGAAAGCAUU